rnacentral:rRNA from 1 species
UACGUAGGCCGCGAGCGUUGUUCGGAGUUACUGGGCGUAAAGCGUGCGUAGGCGGUGUCUUAAGUUUGUUGUGAAAUCUCCCGGCUUAACCGGGAGGGUGCGGCGAAUACUGAGAUGCUGGAGUGCCGGAGAGGUAAGCGGAAUUCCUGGUGUAGCGGUGAAAUGCGUAGAUAUCAGGAGGAACACCUGCGGUGUAGACGGCUUACUGGACGGUAACUGACGCUGAGGCACGAAAGCGUGGGUAGCAAACAGG